rnacentral:rRNA from 1 species
UACGAAGGGGGCUAGCGUUGUUCGGAAUUACUGGGCGUAAAGCGCACGUAGGCGGCUUUUCAAGUCAGGGGUGAAAGCCCGGGGCUCAACCCCGGAAUUGCCCUUGAAACUGGAAGGCUAGAAUCACGGAGAGGUGGGUGGAAUUCCGAGUGUAGAGGUGAAAUUCGUAGAUAUUCGGAAGAACACCAGUGGCGAAGGCGGCCCACUGGACGUGUAUUGACGCUGAGGUGCGAAAGCGUGGGGAGCAAACAGG